UGAACUCAAAAUUUUGAGAAGAAAACUGGGACACUACAUACGGACGACACAUAUUUCCUCUAUUUGUAACAGAACAAUCUCUUUCUUCCCGUGAGAAAGAGCUUCACGAAAGAACUUUGAUGACUGAGUGCGAAGAAAGAAACUUGUGCCAAAAUGGGUUGAUGAAAGAAGCGUUGAAACUAUAAGUAAGUCACCUCGCAUCACAAAGCAAGCGGACCAAACAGGAACUAUUUACAGGAAUCAAACGUCCCUCGAGUGGUAGAGCAACUAUUCUUCCUUUGGGAUGUAGAGCUCAAUGAUUCUUCCUUUGGGAUGGGCAAAAAUAUUUUUUAGAAAUCACAAUGACAGUUAAAUUGAGACUGAGGAAUGAAGUAUAAGCUUAAUGAAGUUGUCACGACAUUUGGAAAAUUAUUGCAUUGAAUUAUAGGAUGAUCUAUUGGUUAAUUUUCUAAAUCCCCCCACCCCCAAGAUAUGUAGAAUUCUGCAGUUCUUCAUCUUGUUGACAAAGAAGGUUAUUGCACAUCCCUUAUAAAGACAUUAAUAGCCUUAAUGAGGAAUAUCCUUCAAUUGCUCUGCUUAA